rnacentral:rRNA from 1 species
UACGUAGGGUGCGAGCGUUAAUCGGAAUUACUGGGCGUAAAGUGUGCGCAGGCGGCCGCUCAAGUCGAGUGUGAAAUCCCCGAGCUUAACUUGGGAAUUGCGCUCGAAACUAAGUGGCUGGAGUGUGGCAGAGGAAGGUGGAAUUCCACGUGUAGCAGUGAAAUGCGUAGAGAUGUGGAGGAACACCGAUGGCGAAGGCAGCCCCCUGGGCUAACACUGACGCUCAGGCACGAAAGCGUGGGGAGCAAACAGG